GAAGCAUCAGACACUGGGGGGCGCUUCUUGAACAGGCACUGGGCUAGACAGCCCAGACCUCGCGGAAACAAAGCGGGAAGGGGCCGCUCCUGGGGAGUUUUUCCCAGCUUCCCUGGGCCGGUGAGGGGUCCUGGCGUCCUGAACUGGAGAUGCUCCUUAGAGGGCACUGCUUCAGCCACCCCUGCCUUAGCAUACAUACGGGUCCCACAGGGGUCCUUCGACACCAGCUCAUCGUCUGGGUUCCACCAUCCACCCACGCACUCAUUUGGCAGCUAUCAACGGAGUAUUCACAGUACGCUGCUCACAGUUCUAACCGCGGAGGAUAGAGUUGAGGCCCACACGACAGCCCCUGCUCUCACAGAACUGAUGUCUCUAGAAGAGUCUUCCCUCAGUGAGAACGUUCUGAUUUCUAGAACAUUCUUUCUUCUGAUGAGUGAACAGCCUCACCGGAACUUCCCCAUCCUCCUGGCUUGGUUCCUGAAGUGGCCCAAGGCUGCCUUCUCCCUCCCGUGGGUGAACAGGGUCACUGCUUCCUCUCUUGUCCAGGCCCCCUGGCCUGACCCUGAGUCCCGGGCGUAACGGCGUUGUUGAACCACCACAACCCCAGGCGGCGCCUUCCUCUUGGCCCAGGGGCUCUCUUGGGGACAGUGUGCAGUACUCCCCAAGGGGGCUUUGCUGUGCAAAAGCAGCCCCUGCCGAUGCUGCGGCUCCCGUGGAUGGAGCACUGCCGUGGGAACAGAGUUGGAACUCAUCCAAAAGAAUAAAAGACAACUGUGUUGGAAGAUUGCCAAGGUUUGUAGCUGUGCCACCGCAGACUUCAGAGAUGAACACUGCCUUGGAGACGAGGAGGAUUCAAGUUGCAGAAGCAUUUAGAAACCUCAAACUUGAGACACGGUGGGAAAUCAGGAAGACAUGAGGCUUUGCUCAACACUGGAGAACACCAGUUCUUUUCAGUUUGUAUGCAUCUUUAUCAGGGUCUAUGCGAUUCUGAGGCAAGAGGCAUGAAACAACUCUGAGGAAGCAGGUCGGAGAGCAGCUGACCUGGUGAUCAAGGUAUUGAACUUUGUUCUCUGAGUUUCUUUCUCCACAGGAGGGGCAGCCUGCUAAAAGCAGGGGCAGCAAGACGACAUCUCCAGCUGAGAGACACAUGUACCACUUAGAGAUGAGAAAGAUGCACCAGGGUGAGGAUUUCCACUGUGAGCAUGUUCUUCCAUGUCUAAAUAUAUCCCACAUCUGCACAGGCCCUGGAGACUCUCUCCACAUGUCUUAGCUACCAUCUUUAUAACACUUCCUAUUGAGCAUAUUAUGAGAGAUUCUUGAUAUGAAGUUGAAAAAUCAUGUUGAUGAUACUUUACAAAAAAUAAAUGAGGUUGGUUCGUCCCAUAAAACUAAUAUAAUUUUUCCCCUGGUACAAAAGCAGUAAGUCUGAAGGGGUAGUUUGGAGGAUCAUGAGAUUCAAGUUACGAAAUAUUUACCAAAUUUGGUUGGCUCCAGGGAAGCAUCACAGUUUUUAAACUGACAAUAAUGCACCAAGAGGUGCGCAACAGAAAGCCUGAUCUGGCGGUGGAGUUUAGGAUGGGUUGCAAGUUGGGCUAACCCAGGAGAGGACAGUAAGCCCUGGUAGGGGCUAUGAAAAGCCCAGGUGACCCAGGAUUUGCACAGUCCUUCUUGAUACAUGUUUUGGGAAACAGUUUCAGUAGAGUAGUGUAUAAUAGGGAGAAUAUGAGAUGAAAAAGUUCUGAAGAAUGAGUGUGAUGUUGGAGGUGUUAUGUGCUAUAAGAUGCUCUUGGAGAUAGACUGGAAAAGUUUGGAAUUUAAGAUAGGUGGAGAGGAGAGAACCAGACUUAGCAAUACCACAAUGAGUUGGGAAAGGAUGAGAAGGUGGAAGAUGGUGUAGAAUGAGGAAAAUGGUGGGAAGGUUAAUUUUAUGUGACAACUUGACUGGGCUAAGGGAUACCUAGGUAGCUGGUUAAACAUUAUUUCUGCGUAUGUGUCUCUGAGACUGUUUCUGGAAGAGAUUAGCAUUUGAAUCAGUAAAUUUAGUAAAGAAUAUCUACCCUUGGGCCGGGCGCGGUGGCUCACGCCUGUAAUCUCAGCCCUUUGGGAGGCCGAGGCAGGCGGAUCACGAGGUCAGGAGAUCGAGACCAUCCUGGCUAACACGGUGAAACCCCGUCUCUACUAAAAAUACAAAAAAUUAGCCGGGCGUGGUCACCGGCGCCUGUAGUCCCAGCUACUCAGGAGGCUGAGGCAGGAGAAUGGCGUGAACCCGGGAGGUGGAGCUUGCAGUGAGCCAAGAUCACGCCACUGCACUCCAGUCUGGGGAACAGAGCAAGACCCCGUCUCAAAAAAAAAAAUAAUAAAAAAAAAAAGGAAAAGAAAAAAAGAAAAGAAUAUCUAUCCUUACCAGCAAGGGUAGGCAUCAUCUAAUUCAUUGAGGCCCAGAUAGAAAACAAAAAGGUGGAGGAAGUCCAAAUUCUCUCUCUCUUCUUGAGCUGGGACAUCCAUUUUCUACCCUCGGACGUUGGAGCUCCUUGUUCUUGGGCCCUCAGACUCUGGGACCUACACCAGCAGGCCCUCCCCUUCACUCUUCUGAGGCUUUUGGCCUCAGAAUGGGAGUUAAAUCACUGGCUCCCCAGGCUCUCAGGCUUUUGGACUUGGACCAGACUAUACCAUGGGCUUUCCUGGUUCUCCAGCUUGCAGAGAGCAUAUUUUAGGACUUAAACUUUCAGAGUUGUCCUAAGGAUUAAAUAAGAUAAUUUACGGAAAAAAGCGCUUGGUAAACUUUAGCUUGAAAAGUGAUUAUUAUUUGACUUAAAG
rnacentral:lncRNA from 10 species